UGGCUGGCAUGGCUGCCAACAGAGACCUAACUGUCCAUGACCUCUGCUAAGCUAACGGCUAACAGCAAGCAAAGAGUCUUUAAACCGUCUCUGUAGCAAGGACUUCUUUGAGGAAGACAUUGCUGCUGGCUGCCCUGUUUUGGAUGCUAGAGAUCAAUGCUUCACUUCAGCAAGUUGAUGUUGAACAUGCAUGACAUGUAUGUAAACCGAAGACGCAGGUCUUGGCCCGUCCUGAACGUUGCUGUCCAUCAAAUGCUUUUGAGCAAGCCUCUCGAGUUUGAUAUCUGCUGCAGAGGCAGAACAGAAUCCAGGCUGGCAACACGAGCCAUCCGGAGAAAAGAAGGAAUUGUGUUACAGGUGAUGAAGAGGGAAGACCGAGAAAGAAAACCGAGUGCCGGCAAACCUGUC